UGGAGGCAGCAGUGGGGAAUCUUGCGCAAUGGGCGAAUGCCUGACGCAGCGACGCCGCGUGUGGGAUGACGGCCUUCGGGUUGUAAACCACUGUCGGGGGGGACGAAGGCCCGGCGGCGAACAGCCGACCGGGAUUGACGGUACCUCCAAAGGAAGCACCGGCUAACUCCGUGCCAGCAGCCGCGGUAAUACGGAGGGUGCGAGCGUUGUCCGGAAUCACUGGGCGUAAAGGGCGCGUAGGCGGCUGGGUAAGUCACGCGUGAAAUUCCGGGGCUCAACUCCGGAACGGCGUGUGGGACUGCCCGGCUAGAGCACGGUAGAGGCGAGUGGAAUUCCAGGUGUAGCGGUGGAAUGCGUAGAUAUCUGGAAGAACACCGGUGGCGAAGGCGGCUCGCUGGGCCGUUGCUGACGCUGAGGCGCGAAAGCGUGGGGAGCAAACAGGAUUAGAUACCCGGGUAGUCCU
rnacentral:rRNA from 1 species